rnacentral:misc_RNA from 1 species
GAUGAAGAACGUAGCGAAAUGCGAUACUUGGUGUGAAUUGCAGAAUCCCGUGAACCAUCGAGUCUUUGAACGCAAGUUGCGCCCGAAGCCUCGGCUAAGGGCACGUCUGCCUGGGCGUCACGCAUCGCGUCUCCCCCAAACCGCCAAGGCGGAGGGGAAGGAAGAUGGCUUCCCGUGCCUCACCCGGCGCGGUUGGCCUAAAUUUGGAGCCCGCGGCACUUAGCUCACGCGGCGAUAGGUGGUGAACAAGGCCUUGGCCGUGCAAACAACCCGCUGCGAAGCUCUAUGUCACGUGCGCUCGUCGGACCCUUUGAAGUUGCCUUCGGUGACUUAAAACCUUUGCGACCCCAGGUCAGGCGUGGCUACCCGCUGAAUUUAAGCAUAUCAAUAAGCGGAGGA